rnacentral:tRNA from 1 species
CUUCCUCUAGUUUAAAUAGAACCAUUGUCUUGCACACAAUAAGUAGGCACCCCUGAGGAAGU